GAUGAACGCUGGCGGCGUGCCUAAUACAUGCAAGUCGAGCGAACGGACGAGAAGCGUGCGUCUCUGAUGUUAGCGGCGGACGGGUGAGUAACACGUGGAUAACCUACCUAUAAUACUUGGAUAACUUCGGGAAACCGUAGCUAAUACCGGAUAAUAUUUUGUACGGCAUGGUUCAAAAGAGAAAGGCGGUCUUGCUGUCACUUUGAGAUGGACCCGCGCUGCAUUGGCUAGUUGGUAAGGUAACGGCUUACCAAGGCAACGAUGCAUAGCCGACCUGAGAGAGUGAUCGGCAACACUGGACCGGAGCCACGGUCCAGACUCCUCGGGGAGGAAGAGGUAGGGAAUCUUGCGCAAUGGGCGAAAGCCUGACGGAGCAAAGCGGCGUGGGGGAUGAAGGUCUUCGGAUCGUAAAACUCUGUUAUUAGAGAAGAACAUAUGUGUAAGUAACUGUGCACAUCUUGAGGGUACCUAAUCAGAAAGACACGGCUAACUACGU
rnacentral:rRNA from 1 species